rnacentral:rRNA from 1 species
CCUACGGGAGGCAGCAGUGAGGAAUCUUGGUCAAUGGGCUUACGCCUGAACCAGCCAAGUCGCGUGAGUGAAGACUGCCCUAUGGGUUGUAAACCUCUUUUGUCAGGGAGCAACGCCGGCUACGUGUAGCCGGACUGAGAGUACCUGAAGACAAAGCAUCGGCUAACUCCGUGCCAGCCGCCGCGGUCAUACGGAGGAUGCGAGCGUUCUCCGUUUUUAUUGGGUUUAAAGGGUGCGUAGGCGGAAUGCCAAGUCAGCGGUAAAAUAGCGGGGCUCACCCUCGCUCCGCCGUUGAAACUGGGGUUCUUGAGUGGGCGAGAAGUAAGUGGAAUGCGGGGUGUAGCGGUGAAAUGCAUAGAUAUCACGCAGAACUCCGAUUGCGAAGGCAGCAUACCGGCGCCCAACUGACGCUGAAGCACGAAAGCGUGGGUAUCGAACAGGAUUAGAUACCCCAGUAGUC